rnacentral:rRNA from 1 species
GACGAACGCUGGCGGCGUGCCUAAUACAUGCAAGUCGAGCGAUGAUUAAAGAUAGCUUGCUAUUUUUAUGAAGAGCGGCGAACGGGUGAGUAACGCGUGGGAAAUCUGCCGAGUAGCGGGGGACAACGUUUGGAAACGAACGCUAAUACCGCAUAACAAUGAGAAUCGCAUGAUUCUUAUUUGAAAGAAGCAAUUGCUUCACUACUUGAUGAUCCCGCGUUGUAUUAGCUAGUUGGUAGUGUAAAGGACUACCAAGGCGAUGAUACAUAGCCGACCUGGGGGGGUGGUCGGCCCAACUGGGAAUGGGACACGGCCCAGACUCCUACGGGAGGCAGCAGUAGGGAAUCUUCGGCAAUGGGGGCAACCCUGACCGAGCAACGCAGCGGGAGUGAAGAAGGUUUUCGGAUCGUAAAACUCUGUUGUUAGAGAAGAACGUUAAGUAGAGUGGAAAAUUACUUAAGUGACGGUAUCUAACCAGAAAGGGACGGCUAACUACGUGCCAGCCGCCGCUGUAA